GCGGCCCAACCUCCCACCCUUGUCUCUAUACACCUGUUGCUUUGGCGGGCCCACUGGGGGCCCCCUGGUCGCCGGGGGACAUCCGUCCCCGGGCCCGCGCCCGCCGAAGCGCUCUGUGAACCCUGAUGAAGAUGGGCUGUCUGAGUAUUAUGAAAAUUGUCAAAACUUUCAACAAUGGAUCUCUUGGUUCCGGCAUCGAUGAAGAACGCAGCGAAAUGCGAUAAGUAAUGUGAAUUGCAGAAUUCCGUGAAUCAUCGAAUCUUUGAACGCACAUUGCGCCCCCUGGCAUUCCGGGGGGCAUGCCUGUCCGAGCGUCAUUUCUGCCCUCAAGCACGGCUUGUGUGUUGGGUGUGGUCCCCCCGGGGACCUGCCCGAAAGGCAGCGGCGACGUCCGUCUGGUCCUCGAGCGUAUGGGGCUCUGUCACUCGCUCGGGAAGGACCUGCGGGGGUUGGUCACCACCACAUUUUACCACGGUUGACUCGGAUCAGGUA
rnacentral:misc_RNA from 1 species